AUUACAUGAAAUGAGAAUCGAAAAGGGGCUCAUCGAAGAGGUUUUGUGCCUUCAGCUGUGGCUGCUCCAUCGAGUUUUGCCCCCAGUUUCUGGCUCACUCGCCGUCUCUUUUGCUCUGAUUUGGCCAUGGGGGUGCUCGAAAUCAAAUUUUGAGCAAGUAGGAAAAAUUUUAACCUCUUUUGGCAGUCGAUGGUGGCUCCGAUAUAGCAGUAGUAGAUGAUCGGUGUCCUUCCCCAAUAUCUGGUUUCGCUUCUCC
rnacentral:lncRNA from 1 species